GCCAUCCAGGCAGAAGGCAUCACCUCGCCCUGGAAAGGGGUUAUUUCUACCCCACAUCUCACCCUGAGCUUGCCGGCUCCUGCAAAGCCUUUUGCUGUUUUGCCUUUUCCCAGCUACUCCAAACAUCAACGCUCAGGAUAUUGGGAUGAAAGCUAAAGCCAUCAGGGGGCUCUCUGGGAACGCUCCAGACAAGCUUUGAGUUAAACAGGGCUUGCUCAGAAAAUAAACACAGCUUCCAGCCAUGCAAAGCACGACAGUUCAGGCUCUGCCUAAUAACAGCAGGCGGGGUGGUUCCUCUCCCAGCAGCAGAAAGGACCUGGUGACCACAGGAUGGAAAGGAAAACACAGGGAGAAAAACAGCGGCUCAAGAAUGUGCUCCCAGAGGAUCCUGCUCUCUCAGGACCAGCACGGAGAAUGCCGAGGUGUGCACAGUCCAUGGGCACCUGAGCUGGAAUGCAGGGAGAGAUGGAGGUGUCUGCAGCAUCCUGCAGCUCUGGGAGGAAGGACAGAUGUCUCCAGGCCAGUCCAGCUCCAGACAGGGCCACCACACCCUGUCACGGGGCAGAGCCAGUGACAAAACUCUUUGCAUCCCAUGGGGCACCCCACUGAGGACCUUCUGCCUGCAGCAAGGAGGUAACAAGACAUGAGAAGAGUUCAGAAAAUUCUGGUGUUUUCUGCUGAUUACUCAUUUCCACUGAUCCAAUAC